GACGAACCGUGCAAACGUUAUUCGGAAUCACUGGGCUUAAAGGGCGCGUAGGCGGACCACCAAGUCCGGGGUGAAAUCCUCCGGCUUAACCGGAGAAUUGCCUGGGAUACUGGUGGUCUUGAGGGAGGUAGGGGCACGCGGAACUUCCGGUGGAGCGGUGAAAUGCGUUGAUAUCGGAAGGAACGCCGGUGGCGAAAGCGGCGUGCUGGCCCUCUUCUGACGCUGAGGCGCGAAAGCCAGGGGAGCGAACGGG
rnacentral:rRNA from 1 species